CUGGCGGCGUGCUUCAUACAUGCAAGUCGAACGAGAAUCUCUAGCUUGCUAGAGAGGAAAGUGGCGGACGGGUGAGUAAAAAUGUAGGUAAUCUGCCUUUAAGCGGGGGACAACAGUUGGAAACGAUUGCUAAUACCCCAUAUGAGCGUACCUGAGAUGGUAUUCUUGAAAACUCCGGUGCUUAGAGAUGAGCCUGCAUCUGAUUAGCUAGUUGGGGGUGUAAUGGACCACCAAGGCGACGAUCAGUAGCUGGUUUGAGAGGAUGAUCAGCCACAAUGGGACUGAGACACGGCCCAUACUCCUACGGGAGGCAGCAGUAGGGAAUUUUGCGCAAUGGGGGAAACCCUGAACCGCAGCAACGCCGCGUGAAUGAGACGGCCUUCGGGUUGUAAAGUUCUGUCAAUAGGGACGAAAAAUGACGGUACCUAUAGAGGAAGCACCGGCUAACUCCGUGCCAGCAGCAGC
rnacentral:rRNA from 1 species